rnacentral:rRNA from 1 species
AUGCUUUGGGUUGUGGGUUCGGCCUAAGUUCCUUGGAACAGGACGUCAUAGAGGGUGAGAAUCCCGUAUGUGGCCGAGGCCCGCGCCUAUGUAAAGCUCUUUCAACGAGUCGAGUUGUUUGGGAAUGCAGCUCAAAAUGGGUGGUAAAUUUCAUCUAAAGCUAAAUAUGGGCCAGAGACCGAUAGCGCACAAGUAGAGUGAUCGAAAGAUGAAAAGCACUUUGGAAAGAGAGUUAAACAGUACGUGAAAUUGUUGAAAGGGAAGCGCUUGCACCCAGACUUGGGCGCUGCUGAUCACCUUGCGGUCUCCGCAAGUGCACUCGACAGCGCACAGGCCAGCAUCGGUUCGGGUGGCUGGAUAAAGGCCGUAGGAACGUAGCUCCCUUCGGGGAGUGUUAUAGCCUACGGUGCCAUGCAGCCCAGCCGGACCGAGGACCGCGCCUUCGGGCUAGGAUGCUGGCGUAAUGGGUGUAAGCGACCCGUCUUGAAACACGGACCAAGGAGUCUAACAUCUAUGCGAGUGUUUGGGUGGUAAACCCAUACGCGGAAUGAAAGUGAACGUAGGUGAGAACCCCUUUGGGGCGCAUCAUCGACCGAUCCUGAUGUC